GACGAACGCUGGCGGCGUGCCUAAUACAUGCAAGUCGAGCGGACUUGAAGGAGUGCUUGCACUCCUGAGAGUUAGCGGCGGACGGGUGAGUAACACGUAGGCAACCUGCCCUCAAGACUGGGAUAACUACCGGAAACGGUAGCUAAUACCGGAUAAUUAUUACAUAGCAUUAUGUGAUAAUGAAAGACGGAGCAAUCUGUCACUUGGGGAUGGGCCUGCGGCGCAUUAGCUAGUUGGUGGGGUAACGGCCCACCAAGGCGACGAUGCGUAGCCGACCUGAGAGGGUGAACGGCCACACUGGGACUGAGACACGGCCCAGACUCCUACGGGAGGCAGCAGUAGGGAAUCUUCCGCAAUGGGCGAAAGCCUGACGGAGCAACGCCGCGUGAGUGAUGAAGGUUUUCGGAUCGUAAAGCUCUGUUGCCAAGGAAGAACGUCUCAUAGAGUAACUGCUAUGGGAGUGACGGUACUUGAGAAGAAAGCCCCGGCUAACUACGUG
rnacentral:rRNA from 1 species